AUUGAACGCUGGCGGCAUGCCUUACACAUGCAAGUCGAACGGCAGCGCGGACUUCGGUCUGGCGGCGAGUGGCGAACGGGUGAGUAACAUAUCGGAACGUGCCCUGGAGUGGGGGAUAACUAGUCGAAAGACUAGCUAAUACCGCAUACGAUCUACGGAUGAAAGUGGGGGAUCGCGAGACCUCAUGCUCGUGGAGCGGCCGAUAUCUGAUUAGCUAGUUGGUGGGGUAAAGGCCUACCAAGGCAUCGAUCAGUAGCUGGUCUGAGAGGACGACCAGCCACACUGGGACUGAGACACGGCCCAGACUCCUACGGGAGGCAGCAGUGGGGAAUUUUGGACAAUGGGCGAAAGCCUGAUCCAGCAAUGCCGCGUGUGUGAAGAAGGCCUUCGGGUUGUAAAGCACUUUUGUCCGGAAAGAAAUGGCUCUGGUUAAUACCUGGGGUCAAUGACGGUACCGGAAGAAUAAGGACCGGCUAACUACGUGCCAGCCGCCGCCGUAA
rnacentral:rRNA from 1 species